AUAAUUUUAUUAUAUUUUAAUUUUAUUUAAUUUCUUUAUUAAAAGUAUUUUUUAUGUUUAAGUAUAUUGAAAUAAUUUAUUUGAUAGACUGUAAAGGUAUAUAUAAUUAUAUACAUUAAAGUAAAAAAAACAUUUGUACCUUUUGUAUCAGGGUAUAUCAAUUAAUUCUAUAAACUAUAUAUUUCCCGAAAAAAAAUGAUUUAAUUUAUAUUAUUAGUUAUUGUAACAUAAAUAUUAAUAAAUAUAACUUGGAAGUGAAACUUUAACGAAUUUUUUGAUAUCUGGUUUCCUAAGAAAUAAGUUUAAUUUAAAAUAACUAUAUAAGUAAACAAUAAUUACUUUAUGUUAUUUAAUUAUAGGAGGGAUAAGCUUUCUAUAAAUUUCUAUAAAAGUUAAUAUGUAUAUAUAUAGUAGGCUUAAAACCAGCCACCUUAUGAUUUAGUUAAAUUUCACUAUUUACUAUAAUUUAUUAUAUUGCUUUUAGAUAUUUAUUGGGAAAUUCUAUUUAAUUAAUUAUUAUAACUAUAAUGAUUUAAUUAGUAAAAUAUUUAUUUUAUGAUUAUGAAUUCGGCAAAUAUAUUUAAUUUCCACCUGUUUAUCAAAAACAUGUCUUUUAGUAUAAAAUUAAAGGUCUAAUCUGCCCAAUGAUUAUUGAAUGGCCGCGGUAAUCUGACCGUGCAAAGGUAGCAUAAUAAUUAGUCUUUUAAUUGAAGGCUUGUAUGAAUGAUUGGAUGAGAAAUUUUCUUUAUUAUUAUAAAUAUUUUAACUUGACUUUUAAGUUAAAAGGCUUAAAUAUUUAUGUGGGACGAGAAGACCCUAUAGAGUUUUAUAAAUCGUUAAAUCUAUUGAUUUUAGUUUAAUAUCUCAAUUAGAUUCUUCACUUUAUUAUAUUGGGGUGAUAUUGAAACAAAUUAAGCUUUCAAUUAAUUGCUCAUUAAUUAAUGCUUUAUUGAUCCUAGUUUAAGAAUAAAAGAUUAAAUUACCUUAGGGAUAACAGCGUAAUUAGAUUGAAGAGUCCUAAUCGAUAAUCUAGUUUGCGACCUCGAUGUUGGAUUAAGAAAAGUACCUGGAGCAAAUUUCAGGUAAUACUAGGUCUGUUCGACCUUUAAAUUCUUACAUGAUCUGAGUUCAGACCGGCGUGAGCCAGGUUGGUUUCUAUCUACAUUUAUUUUUUUGAUAUUAGUACGAAAGGACCAUAUCAAAUAAUUUGAUUAU
rnacentral:rRNA from 1 species